AUGGAAUGCCACAGUGAACUGAGCAAGGCUCCACCUUUGGCUAUUUGCGAUGUCCACACUAGACCAAGUUCAGAAAAUGUAUUCAGUACACCACAGAAAAUGUACAGUGCACCAUUCUGUGGCUCAUCUUGUACUCCAGAGUGGGAUGAUGACAUCAAGCUAGCCAUAGGGAUGACCUUUACAGAUUUGAACGCAGCCAAGGAUUUCUAUAAAGCUUAUGCACAUCAUGUUCGUUUUUCAGUACGUGUAGGACAGCAUAAGACAGCCAAUGGUGUCAUUACUCACAAGCGUUUCUAUUGUGAUCGUGAAGGUUUCCGCAAAGAGCGGAAAGGUAGGCUGGUACAUGUGUUCUGGGCUGAUGCCACAUGUAGGAAAAAUUAUGCUCUAUUUGGAGAGCUUGUGUCCUUUGACUCGACGUACAACACCAAUCAAUAUAACAUGAUAUUCACUCCCUUUUCUCGCAAAAAAAAAAUGAUAUUCACUCCCUUUACUAGAAUCAAUCACAAUAAGGCAAGUGUUUGUUUUGGUGCUGCAAUGUUACACGAUGAGAAGACAGAUUCCUAUAAGUGGUUGUUCCGCACAUUCUUGAAAGCCAUGGGAGGGGUUGCACCUAGGUUUAUAAUAACUGAGGAAUGCAGUAGCAUGGACAAUGUAAUAAGGGAAGUUUUCUCAGCAGCCACACAUAGGCGCAUGUGGCAUAUUAUGAAUAAGAUUCCGCAGAAGGUUGGCCCUGAUUUGAAGACCGAUGAGGAUUUCCAUGAACGGUUAGGUCGGUGUGUGUGGUCUUCUGAAACUCUUACUGAGUUUGAGGAACGAUGGAAGGAAAUUAUGUCGGAGUAUGGGCUGGAAGAUGAUGAUUGGUUCAGUAAAAGGUUCAGCCUUCGAGAAUCAUGGAUACCAGCUUAUUUCAAAGAAAUCACUUUGUCAGGGCUUAUGAGGACCACUUGA
rnacentral:rRNA from 1 species